GAUGAACGCUGGCGGCGUGCCUAACACAUGCAAGUCGAGCGGAAAGGUGCGGCGCGGGACCCGCGGGGGGUAGGGGCGGGCAAGAGGGUAACAAGCGGACCACGAACCUGGGAGAACGCGAGGAAACGGGGGAAAAGACGGGAAAAUCCGUCUAUAUCGCGAGACUUGGGGGGGAAAAGUGUUAGGGCUGGGUUGUGCUCUCGGCCUAUCAGCUUGUUGGUGGGGUACUGGCCUGCCAAGUCAAGGCUGGGUAGCCGGCCUGUGAGUGCGAACGGCCCCACUGCGCCUGCGAGACGGCCCAGACUCCUACGGGAGGCAGCAGUGGGGAAUAUUGCACAAUGGGCGGAAGCCUGAUGCAGCGACCCCGCGUGCGGGAUGACGGCCUUCGGGUUGUAAGCCUCUUUCAGCAGGGACGAAGCGUAAGUGACGGUACCUGCAGAAGAAGCGCCGGCCAACUACGUG
rnacentral:rRNA from 1 species